GUACUGCCGGUGAUUCGACCAGCACCUCGCGUUGCUCUAGAUUCAUUUUGAUCCUGGCUCAGGACGAACGCUGGCGGCGUGCCUAACACAUGCAAGUCGAACGGGGAUUUUGUUUCGGCAGAAUCCUAGUGGCGAACGGGUGAGUAACGCGUAGGCAACCUGCCCCCCGGUCUGGGACAACACCCCGAAAGGGGUGCUAAUACCGGAUGCGAAGAAAGCAUCGCAUGGUGCUGUUUUGAAAGAUGGCCUCUAUUUAUAAGCUAUCGCCGGGGGAUGGGCCUGCGUUCGAUUAGCUGGUUGGUGAGGUAACGGCCCACCAAGGCGACGAUCGGUAGCCGGUCUGAGAGGAUGAACGGCCACAUUGGGACUGAGACACGGCCCAGACUCCUACGGGAGGCAGCAGUGGGGAAUCUUCCGCAUGGGCGCAAGCCUGACGAGCAACGCCGCGUGGGUGAGGAGUCCUUCGGGACGUAAAGCCCUGUUGUUUAUGACGAACGGCUUCCUGUGACCAUGGGGGAGCAGUGACGGUAUAGACGAGAGCACCGCUACUACUGCACACCGCGGUAUACUUAGUGGCAGCGUGUCCGGAUAUUGGGUAACCAUAGCGCGGUAUUUUCUGAAUCGGCACCCUCGCGACUGUCUUUCGAGACCGCGAGAUGACGGAGCUUGGUACGGAGCCAGCAUGGAUGUCACACCGCGACGUAGAUGAGUAGUGAGUGAUGACGUCAGUCAGUCGUAGCACAGACUGAUAACUAUGAUCGA
rnacentral:rRNA from 1 species